ACCACCUGGCCGUGGACACCUGUGUCAGCAUGUGGGACCUGGUUCUCUCCAUCGCCUUGUCUGUGGGGUGCACUGGAAUAGCCAGGUCUGGCUGGGUCGGCACAACCUGUUUGAGCCUGAAGACACAGGCCAGAGGGUCCCUGUCAGCCACAGCUUCCCACACCCGCUCUACAAUAUGAGCCUUCUGAAGCAUCAAAGCCUUAGACCAGAUGAAGACUCCAGCCAUGACCUCAUGCUGCUCCGCCUGUCAGAGCCUGCCAAGAUCACAGAUGUUGUGAAGGUCCUGGGCCUGCCCACCCAGGAGCCAGCACUGGGGACCACCUGCUACGCCUCAGGCUGGGGCAGCAUCGAACCAGAGGAGUGUACGCCUGGGCCAGAUGGUGUAGCUGGGAGCCCAGAUGCCUGGGUCUGAGGGAAGUGGGGCCAAAGAACCAGGUGGGGUCCGGCCACAGCCCAGUUUUUCUCUGACCCAUAGUCUUGCGCCCCAGGAGUCUUCAGUGUGUGAGCCUCCAUCUCCUGUCCAAUGACAUGUGUGCUAGAGCUUACUCUGAGAAGGUGACAGAGUUCAUGUUGUGUGCUGGGCUCUGGACAGGUGGUAAAGACACUUGUGGGGGUGAUUCUGGGGGUCCACUUGUCUGUAAUGGUGUGCUUCAAGGUAUCACAUCAUGGGGCCCUGAGCCAUGUGCCCUGCCUGAAAAGCCUGCUGUGUACACCAAGGUGGUGCAUUACCGGAAGUGGAUCAAGGACACCAUCGCAGCCAACCCCUGAGUGCCCCUGUCCCACCCCUACCUCUAGUAAAUUUAAGUCCACCUCACGUUCUGGCAUCACUUGGCCUUUCUGGAUGCUGGACACCUGAAGCUUGGAACUCACCUGGCCGAAGCUCGAGCCUCCUGAGUCCUACUGACCUGUGCUUUCUGGUGUGGAGUCCAGGGCUGCUAGGAAAAGGAAUGGGCAGACACAGGUGUAUGCCAAUGUUUCUGAAAUGGGUAUAAUUUCGUCCUCUCCUUCGGAACACUGGCUGUCUCUGAAGACUUCUCGCUCAGUUUCAGUGAGGACACACACAAAGACGUGGGUGACCAUGUUGUUUGUGGGGUGCAGAGAUGGGAGGGGUGGGGCCCACCCUGGAAGAGUGGACAGUGACACAAGGUGGACACUCUCUACAGAUCACUGAGGAUAAGCUGGAGCCACAAUGCAUGAGGCACACACACAGCAAGGAUGACGCUGUAAACAUAGCCCACGCUGUCCUGGGGGCACUGGGAAGCCUAGAUAAGGCCGUGAGCAGAAAGAAGGGGAGGAUCC
rnacentral:lncRNA from 10 species